CGCAAUGACAGCUUCGUCCUCAAUGGGGUUGAGGGAACAGGUGGAGUAGACCAUCGUGCCGCCCACGGCCAGCUGUUCGACACCACGCACGGCAAUACGCAUCUGGAGGCUGGACGAAGAUUACCAGCUGAGAGGCUGCGGCGCCUCAAUCUUCUGACCGUCGAUCUCCAACUCCUGAAUAUCCUUAAAGUACUUUUCCUUCAGGCAGUGGAGGAUUUCCUUGGCGUGGCUGCAACCAGUAAGAGAGGGGCAGAGCAUGGCUUGGUGAACGACGUCCGGAGGUCUGACCUCAGCUCCAGUCGGCCAAUUACGAGGUCAUUUCAGCAUUAGAGCCUUUGCCAUGCUCCUUGCAAGUGCUUUCAUUUUGUAUUUGUGUGUUUGACUGUUUGAAACGGUCAAUAAACAGCAAGUCAAUGUACCACUGUGCAAUGUUACCCCGCUGUUCAUCAUUCGUACCCCAGCUAUAGCAAUUUUUUAUGAUGAAGUGAGGGGAAAUGGCUUCAUUUAGCCAUUGCCUUGCCGACAUCUCGUUGCAACAAAAGGCAGGGCUCGGUACCGAGCCCCCGCAAAUUGUUCACUGUAUGUUGGA